rnacentral:rRNA from 1 species
CAGGCCUAACACAUGCAAGUCGAGCGGUAGAGAGAAGCUUGCUUCUCUUGAGAGCGGCGGACGGGUGAGUAAUGCCUAGGAAUCUGCCUGGUAGUGGGGGAUAACGUUCGGAAACGGACGCUAAUACCGCAUACGUCCUACGGGAGAAAGCAGGGGACCUUCGGGCCUUGCGCUAUCAGAUGAGCCUAGGUCGGAUUAGCUAGUUGGUGAGGUAAUGGCUCACCAAGGCUACGAUCCGUAACUGGUCUGAGAGGAUGAUCAGUCACACUGGAACUGAGACACGGCCCAGACUCCUACGGGAGGCAGCAGUGGGGAAUUUUGGACAAUGGGCGAAAGCCUGAUCCAGCCAUGCCGCGUGUGUGAAGAAGGCCUUAGGGUUGUAAAGCACUUUCAGGGGUGAGGAAGGGUAGCUAGUUAAUACCUAGUUAUUUUGACGUUAGCCCCAGAAGAAGCACCGGCUAACUCUGUGCCAGCAGCCGCGGUAAUACAGAGGGUGCAAGCGUUAAUCGGAAUUACUGGGCGUAAAGCGCGCGUAGGUGGUUUGUUAAGUUGGAUGUGAAAUCCCCGGGCUCAACCUGGGAACUGCAUUCAAAACUGACUGACUAGAGUAUGGUAGAGGGUGGUGGAAUUUCCUGUGUAGCGGUGAAAUGCGUAGAUAUAGGAAGGAACACCAGUGGCGAAGGCGACCACCUGGACUGAUACUGACACUGAGGUGCGAAAGCGGGGGGAGCAAACAGGAUUAGAUACCCUGGUAGUCCACGCCGUAAACGAUGUCAACUAGCCGUUGGGAGCCUUGAGCUCUUAGUGGCGCAGCUAACGCAUUAAGUUGACCGCCUGGGGAGUACGGCCGCAAGGUUAAAACUCAAAUGAGUUGACGGGGGCCCGCACAAGCGGUGGAGCAUGUGGUUUAAUUCGAAGUAACGCGAAGAACCUUACCAGGCCUUGACAUCCAAUGAACUUUCUAGAGAUAGAUUGGUGCCUUCGGGAACAUUGAGACAGGUGCUGCAUGGCUGUCGUCAGCUCGUGUCGUGAGAUGUUGGGUUAAGUCCCGUAACGAGCGCAACCCUUGUCCUUAGUUACCAGCACGUAAUGGUGGGCACUCUAAGGAGACUGCCGGUGACAAACCGGAGGAAGGUGGGGAUGACGUCAAGUCAUCAUGGCCCUUACGGCCUGGGCUACACACGUGCUACAAUGGUCGGUACAGAGGGUUGCCAAGCCGCGAGGUGGAGCUAAUCCCAGAAAACCGAUCGUAGUCCGGAUCGCAGUCUGCAACUCGACUGCGUGAAGUCGGAAUCGCUAGUAAUCGCGAAUCAGAAUGUCGCGGUGAAUACGUUCCCGGGCCUUGUACACACCGCCCGU